rnacentral:rRNA from 1 species
GGAUGAACUGCUGGCGGCGUGCCUAACACAUGCAAGUCGAACGGGAGCUGAGAGCUUGCUUUCAGCGAGAGUGGCGAAUGGGUGCGUAACACGUAGGUGACCUGCCCUCAAGCGGGGGAUAACGGUCCGAAAGGAUCGCUAAUACCGUAUGUGGUUGUAGCAUCGGAGCUACAACUAAACUUCCCUUCGGGGUUGGGCUUGAGGAGGGGCCUGCGGCCCAUCAGCUCGUUGGUGAGGUAACGGCUCACCAAGGCGACGACGGGUAGGGGGCCUGAGAGGGUGACCCCCCACACUGGCACUGACACACGGGCCAGACUCCUACGGGAGGCAGCAGUGAGGAAUAUUGCACAAUGGGCGCAAGCCUGAUGCAGCAACGCCGCGUGAGCGAUGAAGGCCUUCGGGUCGUAAAGCUCUUUUCCCAAGGAAGAGUGAGGACGGUACUUGGGGAAUCAGUCACGGCUAACUACGUGCCAGCAGCCGCGGUAAAACGUAGGUGGCGAGCGUUAUCCGGAUUCACUGGGCGUAAAGCGCACGCAGGCGGCCUGGUGGGUAGGGCAUGAAAUCUCCCGGCUUAACUGGGAGGGGUUGUCCUAUACCGCCGGGCUUGAGGCUGGGAGAGGGAAGUGGAAUUGCCGGUGUAGUGGUGAAAUGCGUAGAGAUCGGCAGGAACACCAGUGGCGAAAGCGGCUUCCUGGCCCAGACCUGACGCUCAAGUGCGAAAGCUAGGGGAGCGAACGGGAUUAGAAACCCCGGUAGUCCUAGCCGUAAACGAUGCACACUAGGUGUCGGGGGUAUUGACCCCCUCGGUGCCGCAGCUAACGCGUUAAGUGUGCCGCCUGGGGACUACGGUCGCAAGGUUAAAACUCAAAGGAAUUGACGGGGGCCCGCACAAGCAGCGGAGCGUGUGGUUUAAUUCGAUGAUACACGAAGAACCUUACCAGGGUUUGACAUGCACGUUGUAGUGAAGCGAAAGCAGAACGACCCUUCGGGGAGCGUGCACAGGUGCUGCAUGGCUGUCGUCAGCUCGUGCCGUGAGGUGUUAGGUUAAGUCCUAUAACGAGCGCAGCCCUUACUGCCAGUUAUACGUGUCUGGCGGGACUGCCGGUCAUAAGCCGGAGGAAGGUGGGGAUGACGUCAAGUCAGCAUGGCCUUUAUAUCCUGGGCUACACACACGCUACAAUGGGGGGUACAGAGGGCUGCCAAGCCGCGAGGCGGAGCCAAUCCCACAAAACCCUCCUCAGUUCGGAUUGUAGGC